GCCUCCUUAGCUCAGUCGGCAGAGCGUUUUACUCGUAAUAAAAAGGUCGUCGGUUCGAUUCCGACAGGAGGCUCCA
rnacentral:tRNA from 1 species